UGGGGAAUUUUGGACAAUGGGGGAAACCCUGAUCCAGCCAUCCCGCGUGUGCGAUGAAGGCCUUCGGGUUGUAAAGCACUUUUGCCAGGAAAGAAACGUCAUGGGUUAAUACCCCGUGCAACUGACGGCACCUGCAGAAUAAGCACCGGCUAACUACGUGCCAGCAGCCGCGGUAAUACGGAGGGUGCAAGCGUUAAUCGGAAUUACUGGGCGUAAAGCGUGCGCAGGCGGUUCGGAAAGAAAGAUGUGAAAUCCCAGAGCUCAACCUUGGAACUGCAUUUGUAACUACCGAGCUAGAGUGUUUCAGAGGGGGGUGGAAUUCCGCGUGUAGCAGUGAAAUGCGUAGAUAUGCGGAGGAACACCAAUGGCGAAGGCAGCCUCCUGGAAUAACACUGACGCUAAUGCGCGAAAGCGUGGGGAGCAAACAGG
rnacentral:rRNA from 1 species